CCUACGGGGGGCAGCAGUGAGGAAUAUUGGUCAAUGGGCGCGAGCCUGAACCAGCCAAGUCGCGUGAGGGAGGACGGCCCUACGGGUUGUAAACCUCUUUUGCCGGGGAGCAACGGGCGUCACGCGUGGCUCCACUAAGAGUACCCGGAGAAAAAGCAUCGGGUAACUCCGUGCCAGAAGCCGCGGUAGUACGGGGGAUGCAAGCUUUACCGGGUUUUAUGGGGUUUAAAGGGUGCGUAGGCGGAGCGUUAAGUCAGUGGUCAAACUGAGGGGUCAAACCCCUUCCCGCCAUUGAAACUGGCGUUCUAGAGAGGAAGAGAAGUAUGCGGAAUGCGUGGUGUAGCGGUGAAAUGCAUAGAUAUCACGCAGAACCCCGAUUGCGAAGGCAGCAUGCCGGCUUCCGACUGACGCUGAGGCACGAAAGCGUGGGGAUCGAACAGGAUUAGAUACCCCAGUAGUC
rnacentral:rRNA from 1 species